ACCAGGCUGCCUGGGAGAGCAAGUGGGGUACCUAAGGCAGAGCUGGGGAGCUCUGGCCUGAUUGCGGCUGUGGUUCCUGUGAAGUAGCAAAAGCUGAUCUUCAGGACAGAGGUGAAUUGCCACAUGGCACCUGCAAGGAGCAUUGUCCCAAGAAUCCAGUCAGCCAAGUAAGGACAGACACAGUCCUCAGGAAGCAUUACAAUUUUAAAAUAGUCAGUGGGGAGAAGAUACCUGUCUUAUUCCACAAUAAAACUCUUUGGGUUCUUUUUA